rnacentral:lncRNA from 1 species
AGAUGUCACCAGCCCUCUGAAGCUUCAUCGGACAGAGACUUUCCCAACCUACCGGUCCGAGCACUGACAGCAACCGCCAAGAGCUGUUAGCACACUUGUGCCGUAUCAGCCACAGAUCCACGUGCAGGAGGACGCAGAGGGACAGCCAGGGAGAGCGCAGAAUGUGGAGAAGCGGCUUUGCACCCUGCUAACAUGUGUGGCCAUGGGAAAUGCUACGGAACAACGUCUGUACAUAAAAUUUCCCCCCUUUCCCUUCUUUUUUUUUUGUUUUCCUUUUCUUUUUUUUUAAAGAUACAGCCCUAACCUCACAGAAACAUGCCGGAUUAUAUCAACCCACCCUGUUUUUAUAGCCAGACAGAAGGAGUCGGUGUCGCUACUACGGACUGAUUUUCUAUGGGUGACAGGUGCCCCCUUGUGCCUCUCUGAGUCUGUCCUUUUGUGGAUGUGUGUGAUUCUCCUUGUAAGUGUUUCAGUUGUAAGACAGUCAACAUGGACAAUAAAAUGCCUCUUCAGUA